rnacentral:rRNA from 1 species
UACGGAGGAUCCAAGCGUUAUCCGGAAUCAUUGGGUUUAAAGGGUCCGUAGGCGGUUUGGUAAGUCAGUGGUGAAAGCCCAUCGCUCAACGGUGGAACGGCCAUUGAUACUGCUAGACUUGAAUUAUUAGGAAGUAACUAGAAUAUGUAGUGUAGCGGUGAAAUGCUUAGAGAUUACAUGGAAUACCAAUUGCGAAGGCAGAUCACUAACAAUGCAUUGACACUGAUGGACGAAAGCGUGGGGAGCGAACAGG